UAGGGAAUCUUGGACAAUGGGCGAAAGCCUGAUCCAGCCAUGCCGCGUGAGUGAUGAAGGCCUUAGGGUUGUAAAGCUCUUUCGCCAGGGAAGAUAAUGACGGUACCUGGAUAAGAAGCCCCGGCAAACUUCGUGCCAGCAGCCGCGGUAAUACGAAGGGGGCUAGCGUUGUUCGGAAUUACUGGGCGUAAAGCGCACGUAGGCGGUUUUCCAAGUUGGAGGUGAAAUCCCUGGGCUCAACCCGGGAACUGCCUCCAAAACUGGAUGACUCGAGUCCGAGAGAGGUGAGUGGAAUUUCCAGUGUAGAGGUGAAAUUCGUAGAUAUUGGAAAGAACACCAGUGGCGAAGGCGGCUCACUGGCUCGGUACUGACGCUGAGGUGCGACAGCGUGGGGAGCAAACA
rnacentral:rRNA from 1 species